AUACUUACCUGGACGGGGUGUAUGGGCGAUCAUUAAGGUCCAUGGCCUGGGUUGGUGAUCUCCAUUGCACUUGGGAGGGGUGCCCGCCUAACAUCUCCCCAAAUGGGAGAGUGUACGUCAUAAUUUGUGGUAGAGGGGGAUACGCGUACGCGCGGCCCCCAC